rnacentral:rRNA from 1 species
ACUGACAGCCAUGGUUACCGCGGCUGCUGGCACGGAGUUAGCCGGUGCUUCUUCUGUGAGUGAUGUCCUUCCUGCCGGCUAUUAACCCGCAGGCCUUCUUCCUCACUGAAAGUGCUUUACAACCCGAAGGCCUUCUUCACACACGCGGCAUGGCUGGAUCAGGGUUGCCCCCAUUGUCCAAUAUUCCCCACUGCUGCCUCCCGUAGGAGUCUGGGCCGUGUCUCAGUCCCAGUGUGGCUGAUCAUCCUCUCAGACCAGCUACGGAUCGUCGCCUUGGUGAGCCGUUACCUCACCAACCAGCUAAUCCGACAUAGGCUCAUCCGAUAGCGCGAGGCCCGAAGGUCCCCCGCUUUCCCCCGUAGGGCGUAUGCGGUAUUAGCCUGGGUUUCCCCAGGUUAUCCCCCACUACCGGGCAGAUUCCUAUGCAUUACUCACCCGUCCGCCGCUCGCCACCAGGGAGCAAGCUCCCCGUGCUGCCGCUCGACUUGCAUGUGUUAGGCCUGCCGCCAGCGUUCAAU